UGGCAGCAAUGCAGUCUUGUGAGUG
rnacentral:piRNA from 1 species